rfam:Trichobilharzia regenti genome assembly, scaffold: TRE_scaffold0014976
GUACUGAUGAAGAGUCCCAAACUAGGAUUAAACAGCUGUCCAGUAC